CCAGCUGUCCCUGCCUGUCCCCACUGCUGUCCCUGCCUGUCCCCACCGCUGUCCCUGCCUGUCCCCACCGUCCCCCUUAGCUCGGUGGUUUCCCCCCUGUGCUCCCCAAGAGGCUUCUCAGCUCUGCCUUUGCCCUCUCCCCCAGGGUCGGGAGGUGCAGGUGGGGUGCAGGGGGGUCCGUCCUGCCUGUCCCCACCCCUGUCCUCCUCCCAUGGCCGUGUCCCCAUCCCCGGGAGGGGGUGGCACGGAGCUGCCCUGCUCCAGGACCAGGCACGGCUUCAGCCCCUGCCCUGCUGAGCCCUGGCCAGCUCCUGGCAGUGGCUGUGCCUUGGAGCCUUGGCUGUGGGGACAAGGUGACUGUCCCCUCUCUGGGCACAGGGACCUCCCCCAGCCACAACCAGGGCUGCUGGCCCAUCCGUGUUUGUUUUGGUGCGAAAUAAAAGCUGCUGGUAGCUGGAAUUUGGGGGUGGUGGAGCUGGGGGACCUCGUCCUGAGGUCUGGGGGUGCUCCUGUCCCUUCUGUGCCUGGAGAUGUCCCCAUCCAAGCCUCGCUCCUGAUCUGGUGACGUCCAGGCCCUGCUCUCUGCUCCAAAAAGUCACUUUUAUUGUGCCAAGGGACAGGGGGAGGAACGAUUGUAAACAGGGAUGUGAAAUAUACAGGUUAAGUUACUCGUUGUCUUAUUAACAAAAUAAAGCUCUAUCUAUAUUUACAA